UAAGAACAAGUGCAGUAAAGAAGAACGAUGACCGCUUGGUGGGUUUGUUGUCCAUCCAGCAGCAUCAUCCUCUGCCUGCUUUGUCCAACAACUGUUCUGCAACCGUAGCUGCAAAGUCUCACUCUUCAGUCUUCAAAUGCAGUUUGUUUUAGUACAGUCACAGCCAAAAUACUUAACAAAUCCUAAAAAAUCCAUUAAAAACUUGAAAUUGACUGAUUCCACAAAAAUACAUAAGAAAUUUUAAGUACUGGGUCAUUUUGGUACCAGUGAUCCACUAAUGAAGGUCGUGCUUUUUAUUGAAAGACACAAUUUUUGGAAUUUUCAGGAAGUGCAGAUGCAGUCCUUCAGCAGUUGAUGACACUGCAGAAAUACAGACGAACCAACAGCUUGGAAGACAAACCAAGAUCUGGGCGUCCAAGGGUUUCUUCAGCAAGAAAUGAUCACAUCCUGAUCAUCACAGGAGCUUCAGCAGCAGUGGUCAAACCAAACUGGUGUCCAGUGUUCCACCCGCACUGUACGUGACCGACUUUCAGAUCAUGGCUUAAGGUCCUACAAGGCUGUCAAGAAGCCCCUGAUCAAUGAGAGGCAGGUUAGUCCAGCGUCGUUGGGCUCAAGCACCCAAGAACUGGACAGCCAGGAACUGGAACAAGAUUCUGUGGUCAGAUGAGUCCAGUUACCCAGUUAGGGUACACAGAAAGUCAGGCGAAGCAUUAUCUCCAGCAUGUACACUAUCUAUUGUCAAACAUGGCGGAGGCAGUAUCAUGGUUUGGGGAUGCAUGAGUGCUGCUGCUGUUGGUCAUCUCGCUGUCUGUGAUGGCACAUUGGACUCUGCCAAGUAUUGCCCCUUGCCACACCUCCAGGAUCAGUAGAACUUGGCUGCAGGAGUUCAGUAUCCAGGUCAGGUCAAUACCCGGACAUGAGCCCCACUGAAAAUCUGUGGAGGAUUAUCAAAAGUUCUGUUUCAAAGCAUAAACCAAAUAAUUUAGAAGAAUUAAAAGCAGUAAUUCAAGAAGAAUGGGAAAAGAUUACUCCUCAACAGUGUGAAAGACUCAUGGGGAACAUGUCAGCCAGGAUUAGAGAUCUACUGAUGCUAAUGGCAGGACUACUAAAUAUUAAUUUGAUAAUGUGAUGGUUUAUUAGUUAUGUGACGAUCGGCGUACGUUUGUCUGUUUGUCUUUCUGUGCGCAACAUUACUCAAAAACGGAUUUGAAUGAAAUUUUCAGGGAAGGUCAGAAAUGACACAAGGACCAAGUGACUAGUGACUGGAUCCAUGGAUUUGUUAAAGAUUUCGAUGUCAUUGCGAGAUAGCUGCACGGCAUCACUGUAGCUAUAACAAGUGAACACUACAUCAGCUGCCUGCCGAUGAUCACGUGAUUGUGAUCCUACUGCAAAUCCACCGCUGCGGACUUAUCGGGACUUAUCCGGUGGAAAUCAUACGACUAAGCAGCCUUGGCGAAGUAUUGCGCUCUCUGAGUGCUUUUCUUGUUUGAUGGUGUGGUGGCUUAUUAAUUUUUGUUCAGUUUUGAACACAUUCUAUGUUAUUUGUUGACUUUGAUACUGACAACGUUGAGAACUGACAUUGAAACUGUCAAGAAUUUAGUUUUUCUUGUAAACAAUAAUAUAUAUAUAAUUUGUAUUUGUUUGUAUCUGUCUAAUCCAGCAACACCUUUUGAAACACAAAAAGGAUUUUUCCACAAAUAUUUCAUGAUAACAUUUGAGACUGUGUAAAAUUUUAAAGGUGUCCGAAAUUUUUUUUCCACCACUGCAAUUCAACACCCUUGGACUUUGGCGUAUAUGUUUAGCAGUUGUAGUACCUACAAAAUAGCAGUGAUCCAAGUCUUUAAUAUCAGAUAUGUACAAAUACUUCAUUCAAAGUCUAAAUGUAAAGAAAAAGUGACUUAAUAUGAAGUAGAGGCUCUGCUGGCACCACUUACAGGUUUGAGUGCAAAUGGAUGGAUCUAUGGUUUCACCACAUCUUCACAUUUAGGCUUGCUGUCUUGUUAGGAAACUAAAUAGUUUCAUAAAUAUAUGUUAUGCAGACUGUUUUGUUUCAGGAUUCCUGUAUUUUACAGCGUGGUUUACACCUCUAAUUUUCCAAGCCUGUGGAGUCUGCAUCAUUCCCACAGCAUGAUAUUCGAGUUGUGCAUGGUGCGCCUUGGUUUAUGUGUUUAGUUCACACCAAACAUUGCAUUUAGCACGAUGAGCCCUUCAAUGUUUCAUUAGGCCUUAUGGUGGCCUCCCACACUUGUGCCCUUCUCACUCGGGUUCACGUGUUUUUGAGGAUGGAUUCACUGCUGUGCUCUUUGAUAUGCAUAUUUCAAGUGAUGCUCUAGGAAUUUUCUUAUGUCAUGCACCCUACUUUUCAGUAGCCUCAUGAUGCAAUGGCUUUGAGUUCAUAAUGUAAUUUUUACCAUAUUACUAAACAACAGUUGGCCCUGCGGAUAGGAUAGAGUUGAAAGUAAAGUAUACAGACUGUAUAUAAUUGUACACCAUUAUGUGAUGUCCAUUCAUCCUAAUUAUGCAACUUUAGUAGCAAUAAAGAUUAUUAGCAACUAUUCAACUGUGUAACUGAUCUAAUGGAAAGGCUUGUUUAGUGUGUGACAUAUACACAACCCUUUACAUACCAAAUAUGCCUCCGAUAGCUGCUGCUGGAUUCCUAAAAUAAUGUAAAACUUUCAUUAUUAUAUCAAAUGAAGUGUGGGACAGAAUUAUUGUCAAAUGAAACUGGAUUUCAAAUACCACAUUCAGAUUAUUUUCAGAGAACUAUGCAAAUGAAGCCAGUUUGAAUAAUCUGAAUAUUUUAAUAAAAUAUCCAACAUUACUGAGCAAGAAAACUAAGAAAAGAACCAAAGUCCCAUGAUAAUAAAAUAACACUAAUACACAAUGUCUGUUUGACACAAUUACUGGAAGCCUUUAGUAAUAUUAGACUGCUGCAUUUUUCUGAUAACAAUGACAGCCUGUGAAUGAUUUAUGGCCAGAACAAUAAUAAUAAUAAUAAUAAUAAUAAUAAUAAUAAAAAUAAGCAACUUAAAAAGUAAAAAAUAAAAAAUUUACAUGUGGAUGUGAAGUUUGUGCCACAUUCUUUUGGCCAUGUAAUGUAUUUAUAAUUUCCUAACAUUUUUCUUGUACCUGUGUGGUAUAUGUAGUACUGGAAACUGUGUUGAGUUGUAACCACUAGUAUGAGUCAACUAUCAGCUUAUCAGUUAGUUAGAUUUGUGUUGUGGUAGCAAGAUACAGAAGCUCAGCAAAUACAAUGCAAACUGAGUAAAUCUAUUUGUUGGACAGGAAUCGUAGCAGAACAGCUAAUAAAACACUGCAGCCCUCACAACAGUCUUCUUUUCCAUUGUUUCUGUGGAGUAAAUUUUUCAUACAUUUAUUUUAAACUGUUCAUACAAUCAGAGAGUGUGUUGAAGAUAACACAAGCGAAGCAUUCUCUUACUUGCUGUACUAAGUUGUGUUACUUGUGUUCUCUGCUGUCAUUUCUUUUUCAAACAACCACCGGCCUUUUUUUUUUCUAUCAAGUCUGUAACAGAAGUUUGAGUUUAAAAAAAGUAAAAGGUUAAAACUAUUUGGUAAAUGUUCAAAGGAAAUACCAGAUUGUCAUGAUUUAGUAAUGAUGAUAUCUUUAAAGUGUGUUGUAGAAAUUGUGGUGCUUCACACAAUCUUGUUUCAUCAAAGUUAUUCUGUUAUGUAGACUGUGCUAGACCUCUGUGUAUUAUCAUUUGAAUAUCAAGCACUGGUAUCACCUUAAAGUAAUCACAUUAUUUCUAAAAGCUAAAGAGGAGCACAUUUGUUUGUAUGUAAAAUGAAAAUAUAAGAGUUUCCAUUUACUGUUUUAAAAAUACAGGUUCCACACCAGGAAUUCAGUGCAACAAAAACUGAUAGACCUUUCAUUACUGAGAUUCAAGUCCGAUAAUUUUUAAAUACUUAGUCCACUUUUACUUCCGGCUCAAUCCUCCUCAAUAUUGGGAAUUCCAGAUUUGUUUUGCUCCACCUUUCUCUUUCACAUACCCAAAGGUGUUGUUGUGAUUUCAAGUGAGGCAACAUACUUGACCAGAUCGUGGUUUCCACUUUCUUUCACUUGUGUAAAUUUGGAUUGUUGUUACAUUGGCAUAUUCCUCCUUUGCCAAGUUUUCUGCAGACUGGGAAUCAUCUUGACAGACAGUAUUUUGGUAUACACACAGACAUUCAUAGUGCCGUCUAUAAUUAUAGUGUAAUGUGAUAAAUGGAAGCUCCCCAGUGACACUGGGUUCAUGGCAAACAUUCUGGGCACAUUUAAGCCAGACAAAUUUAUCUUGGACUAACCUGACCAUGGCUCGUACUACCAGUAAUUAUCAGGCUUCUUGUCAUGUAUUGUGGCAAAGUUUAAUUUAGUUUUGUGCCGUACAGGUUGAUGUUAUGUCCUUCGCACUGUCUGAGCUGCCAUAGAAACUCUUAAUUUCCACUGCUAACCACUAUACCAAGUCUGACGCGUUUUGCCCAUCUGCCCAUAUGUUACAGUAUAAACAGCUUGGACACAGUGGUAUCAACACACUAAAUACAUGAAUAUAAUAGCUGUAGAUAGGAUAUAAGAUAGAUACGUACAUGUGCAGAUAAAUAUUGGUAUAAAUAGUAUCAGUGUCGGCACAGAUUUGCACAAAUGUUUCACAGCAGCAGCUAUCGUGUGUCUCCCAGCUUCAGGACCGACUGCAGGAGAAUGGAGAUAGUGGAGUCACCCUGAAAUGGAGGGAGGGAGGUUUUCUUCAGUAACUCAGCCUACAUGUUCACUCAGCUCCUCAAACACCUGACUGAAGAGUAACAGCGCCUUCCUGUGUUUGAAUGUGUAUAUGAUUGUCUUUAUGAAGAGAGUAUGUGACAUUUUAUGCAGGCUGAGAGCUCUUUCCUUUAGUUACUGUGAACUCUUUUUACCCACUAGCUUUGUGAGUGGGUGUAGUUUUACUUGCAGAACUCACUGUAGCGACAAAUUAGCAUUUUAAAGAUACAAUCCUGCAUACUGACUGUCACCACCUUCACCGGCCUGUACAGUUUAUUCUCUGUGUCUCAGGACAAGCGUUCUUUAUUCAUUUAAUGCCUGUUAUCUUCAUUGUGUUAUCAUGUGUGUGAUAAUAAAUAAAUACAAGUUUAC